rnacentral:rRNA from 1 species
AACGUAGGAGGCAAGCGUUAUCCGGAUUUACUGGGCGUAAAGCGCAUGUAGGCGGUUGGGCAAGUGGCGUGUGAAAGCUCCCGGCUAAACUGGGAGAGGACACGUCAGACUGCCCGGCUAGAGGUCGGUAGAGGGGCGCAGAAUUCGGGGUGUAGCGGUGAAAUGUGUAGAGAUCCCGAGGAAUACCAGUGGUGAAGACGGCGCCCUGGGCCGAUACUGACGCUGAGAUGCGAAAGCGUGGGGAGCGAACGGG